rnacentral:lncRNA from 1 species
GCUUUUGCAAAAGUGAGUCAUCUUUUUCGAUUUUGUAGAUUCGGGCCGGAUUUUCAGCCGCCUGACCAAAAUGCCCCCCGUCUACAUCCGCCACUCGCGUAUUCCCUGAGAUACAUAUACUUUGACGUACGGUUCUGACGGGCAUUAAAUGCGCCCUUUACGCUUUACGCAAAUUCGCUCUUUUUCGGAACUCAGACUAAAUCCGCCAAAUACCCUAUAUAUCAGUUUUAACGUCAAAUACCCUAUAUAUCAGCUUUAACGGUGUGGAUCGUCGGUGUGGAUCGUUGAUUUGAAUACCCUAAGAUUAAAGAUGAGACUAUAGUACCGGAGCUCCAGUACAAUAGAUAGUAUAGGAGCUUAGCAAAUAGUAAU